rnacentral:rRNA from 1 species
GACGAACGCUGGCGGCGUGCUCAACACAUGCAAGUCGAACGGAAAGGCCCUGCUUUUGUGGGGUUCUCGAGUGGCGAACGGGUGAGUAACACGUGAGUAACCUGCCCUUGACUUUGGGAUAACUUCAGGAAACUGGGGCUAAUACCGGAUAGGAGCUCCUGCUGCAUGGUGGGGGUUGGAAAGUUUCGGCGGUUGGGGAUGGACUCGCGGCUUAUCAGCUUGUUGGUGGGGUAGUGGCUUACCAAGGCUUUGACGGGUAGCCGGCCUGAGAGGGUGACCGGCCACAUUGGGACUGAGAUACGGCGCAGACUCCUACGGGAGGCAGCAGUGGGGAAUAUUGCACAAUGGGCGGAAGCCUGAUGCAGCAACGCCGCGUGCGGGAUGACGGCCUUCGGGUUGUAAACCGCUUUCGCCUGUGACGAAGCGUGAGUGACGGUAAUGGGUAAAGAAGCACCGGCUAACUACGUG